rnacentral:rRNA from 1 species
CCUACGUGAGGCAGCAGUGAGGAAUAUUGGUCAAUGGGCGCGAGCCUGAACCAGCCAAGUAGCGUGAAGGAUGACUGCCCUACGGGUUGUAAACUUCUUUUAUAAAGGAAUAAAGUGAGGCACGUGUGCCUUUUUGUAUGGAAUUUAUGAAUAAGGAUCGGCCAAAUCCGGGGCAGCAGCCGCGGGAAUACGGAGGAUCCGAGCGUUAUCCGGGUUUAUUGGGGUUAAAGGGAGCGUAGAUGGGUUGUUAAGUCAGUUGUGAAAGUUUGCGGGUCAACCGUAAGAUUGCAAUUGAUACUGGCAGUCUUGAGUACAGUUGAGGUAGGCGGAAUUCGUGGUGUAGCGGUGAAAUGCUUAGAUAUCACGAAGAACUCCGAUUGCGAAGGCAGCUUACUAAACUGCCACUGACAUUGAUGCUCGAAAGUGUGGGUAUCAAACAGGAUUAGAUACCCCGGUAGUC